AGAAGAAAUUUGGCUGCGUGUGGGGAAAGAGAAGGGUUGAAGAUUAGUCAAGAUGGUGGGUAGAGAAUCUGAGGAGAUGAAGACAAAAAGUAAGCAGACUGGAUCUUGGAAAGAAGGAGGCUUCCAGCCGGUGAGCGAUGGCCUUGUUACUCGGGCGUCACAAACUUGGUUUUAAAAACAAAUUUCUGCCGAAGAAGAGUAUCUAUUUUCCCAGUAAGGGUCCCUCACACCCUGUGCCAUCAUCACUGAGGUCUAGAUCGAAAAAGACACCAAGGUAGAAGAACCAACUUCCAGGAAUACAAGUCUCCGCGCAUCCGUUCCGCACUAUCCGGUUGCCACAAGGACUGUCCUCCACGUCCGCGCGCUAGGUCGGCUGCUCCUCAGUGCCAUGCGCCCUAGAAACCCAGCUCUCGGGGUAAUUCUAUUCAGAAAGAGCCGGAGGAAGCAGAGACCCACCUGUCUUUGUGCAUGAAGAGUUAUCUGACAAAGGGCACUAAAUCAUAGAUUCUGGAACGUUGCUAAUACCGAAUAAAAACAAAUGGAACGCUUACGCCAUUAUACACACAUACUAUAAACACCUAGGAAGAGCCAGACCUACAGAGCCCGGCUAGCUCAGUCGGUAGAGCAUGAGACUCUUAAUCUCAGGGUCGUGGGUUCGAGCCCCACGUUGGGCGCUUCCCUUUUACUAUUUUUUUUUUUUUUUUAAAAACCCUACCCUUUGUAGUUUUGAUUCUCUCAGUUGGGAACAGAAUCAUGAGCAUCUAAAUUUUUAUUUACACCACUGUUGUUUUAAAUUUCAGUAAACUGGUCUUAGGAGGUGAAGGCACAAGGUAAUCAGCCUGGGUUAAAUGAAUCCUUGACUGAAAAAAAAUAACAAAAUAAAAAUCCCUCCAACAAUACAAUAACAAUUAAUAAUGAUAACAAUGAAAAAACAAACCUGCAAAUGACUCCAAAACUUUACCCCAUUUAUGCCAAACUCUGGAUUUACAAAUAAUCCAGCCAGGGGUUUCAGAGUCGUGGGAGACCUGGGUCCCUGUUCCAUGCCAACCCAUCCCUUCACAUCAUCCAGAACUCUGCUGUAAGAAGGCCUUUAGCUGGACACAACUUGUUCUUUGAUGCUUGGGAAAUUAAAUUAUUCAUUCAUACAUAUAAAAUUAAGUGAAACUUUCAAGAACGAGGACUACUUAAAAUAGGCAAUUAUUUCUAUCAAAAGAUUGAUGACUUUUGUAAGAAAACACAUCUUAGUACAUACACAAGCACAUUAGGAAUGAUAUCCAAGCAAUUCAAAUUCUUACAACGAAAGGGCCCACUGCAGGCUCUGAGUAAUAGGUAAAACUAAGAAAUUUAACUUCAAAAGAGUAGGGGCAAACAAGAGUGUGUGGACUUCUGUGAAGGGAGAUGAGUGAACAAAUAAUGAAGGAUCGGAACAGCAUCUGUCUUUCCAUGAUGUUGACACAUUUAGCCUGUAACCAAGUCUGCCCUCAGGCCGUGUUGGUUUCUGGGUUCACUGGAACCAAAUAGCAUCCUUAGAAAAACCGCAGCAAUUUCUACCCAGGCCAGCACGUUAUUAAUGGAGUUAUUUUGUGCACUGGAGAUCAAAUCCAGGACUUUUGAGUUCAUUAUGUAAACUGCUCUCUCAUUCAGCUAAGUCCUCAACCCCACCAAACCCUUUUUACUUUUUAUUGGAGACAAAAGUCCCACCUAUUUGCCCAGGCUGGACCGGAACUCAUUUUGCAGCCCAGUCUAGCCCUAGAGAUACGGUGCUUCUGUGUCAGCCUCCUAUGUUGGAAAUCUUUAUUUUCUAUCUAGAGGGUGAGAGGAAUGAGCAAAGCUAAAAAAACAUAAUAGGUUAAGAAGUUAAAAUCGCUAUUAGAAUUAACAGUGGUGGUGUUUGUCACACUUGUGACUAGGACUAGGACGGUGCUCUAUUUCUGCUCAGAUGUGUGUGUGUGUGUGUGUGUGUGUGUGUGUGUGUGGCUCUAUUUCUGCUCAGAUGUGUGUGUGUGUGUGUGUGUGUGUGUGUGUGUGAGAGAGAGAGAGAGAGAUAGAGAGAGAGAGAGAGAGAGAGAGAGAGAGAGAGGAGAGACAGACAGACAGACAGACAGACAGACAGAGACAGAGACAGAGACAGAGAGACAGAGAUGUUGGGACCUACUUUGGUGUUUCCCUUCUCCCUCGCUGAGCCUUUUAGCCUGCUAUAGCAAUAAGUUUUUUACACCCUUGGGAGCUGCUCUUAGCCCCUGAUUUGGGGCUGGGAUUUUCCAUGGCACCCUUCCUCCCCCCCUAGCCUGUUUAAGAAGUUGUUUAUGCCCCUGAUUGGGCUCGGGACUUUCUACCACACAGACCUUUCUUGUUUUCCUGGUUGGGGAUUUUCACCUGCCUUGUUUUCCACGGCUUUUGCCUCAGGUAUAUAAGGAGAUCUCAGUAAAGCCUUGGUGGUACUCGCUGGAAACGGGUGACCCGUGUACGUGUUUUUCUUUUUAAUACACAGGCCCUCGCCGACUCGGGGUAACAGGUUAGCUAUGCAGGCGUAGCUGACACAGAGAGAGAGACAGAGAGACAGAGACAGAACUAUGCACAUGCAUAUGUGCAUUCUUAGAGAGGGUCUUGAUACGUCUCCCUAAGGUCCUCUGAUCUCAGCCUCCCAACUACAGAUUUUUCACCUCUCUUCCCCUUGGAGACAAGGUCUCUCUCUGUAGAGCAGGCUGCCCUUGAACUCACAGAGACCUGCCCGCCUCUGCCUUCUGAGUGCUGGGAUUACAGGGAUGCGAUACUAUGCCCAGCAAAUUUCUUGAUUUGAAGGGGAUAGCUCAGCCUGAGGUGUUUUAAUCAGAUCACCUCUACCCUGGCAGCAGUCAAUGACACUCUGCUGUUUUAUUUUCAAAAACUAGGGAGAAAUGUAACAUGCCAGAAGGUUGUCAGGCCUGGUAGUGCAGGUUUAUAAUCCCAGCUACCUCCAGAAGCAGAGGUGCAAGGGCCACAAGUCAAGGUCUUACACAUUUAGAAUGGCAGGCUUGGCCAUUCACAAAACUCCGUCUCAAAACUGAGAGUGGACAAUACCCCCACCACCACCACCACCCCAAAAAAAAGAAAAGGAAAGAAAGAGUCUAAAGUAGGUGAAUAAAUUUAAUCCCACCUCUCCUCCUUUAAAAGAGAGGGGAAAGGGAAUGAAGCUGAGAUAUGCAUCCUGCAACUGAAAAGAACUACUAUUGUAGCUAAUAUUUAAUCAACAUUCAUGUACUCCAAUGUUUCAGAGCGUUUUUCAUCAAAUGUGGGGUGACAUUUGCAAAGGAAGUUUUCCUACUAACCUUUUUUCUACAGUUGGGAAAUUGGGUAAUUUCUUCAAAGUCAUAUUCUGAGGGAAGUGGGAGAGGGCUGGAUGGGGGACCAGCAUGCAAUAACGUCAUUACAUGUGUGAAGCAGAGAAAUAGAUAUUUCGAGGUUCUGGAGUACAUUCUGAGACCCCAAACAUGGACUAUAGAAAAGCUUUUAUAGUAGCAGGUUAGAAGCUUUCGUGGAGUGUGUGUCUUCCGGGUAUUAUUUAAGGACGCUUAAUGGCCAGAGAAGAGAAUUUUAACUAGGCAAAAGGCACCGUCCCUGGGUGGGCUCGAACCACCAACCUUUCGGUUAACAGCCGAACGCGCUAACCGAUUGCGCCACAGAGACAUGCAGGGUAAGGGCUGUAAAUCCUUUUGCUAGUCUUAGAAUAUAUUUUUGACUUCCGGUCUUUUUAACUAUUUCCCGCUUUUGUGGCUUGUCCAACUCGCACUAUUCUAGAAACUGAAUCCCGACACUGAGAACAGUAGCGGUCUUCAGCAAAUUUGCAUAUUAAUCCUGUGGAACUCGGCUCGUGCCCCAGACCUCCUCCCAACACGGAGUUCCAGUUUCUCAGUCUCAACAGUCGCCUGCCCUCUACUGGUCACCACCGCCGCUCACUUGCCCACUCAGGUCGCGUCCCCGCCGCUUGCCCUGCAGCUUCACCUUUCCCAGAGCACGCGGAGCACCUAGGGACACAGCCGCACAUGCACACGGAGAGAAAGAUUCCACCAUAUGGCUUCAAAAGAAAAAAAUGUCCUAGAGGCCUUUUAGUCCUACGAGGACUACAGAAUGAGAAAAAGCAAACCUGUUUUUUGGAGGAGUUUUCUACCUUUCUGAGUUGUUAGAAUCUGGCAAGGGUCCUCACUUGGGAACUCCAUGUGCACUAAAACCAAACCCAUUUCCCCGCCUCUCAAGGUCAAGUGGCCUAGUCCUUGGGUCUCCUCCAGUGGCUUGUGUGAACUAUGGGGUGUUGAAAACAAAAAGCCUCGCCUAUUAUCCAGGCUUAUAAUCCACAGACUCUGGUGGGCUGAGGCAAGAGGGUCACAAACGCAAGUCCAGCCUGGACUACAUUCACCUUGUGCAAUUUAGUAACAACUCACCACAAAAAUCAAAGGUUAAAAAGGAUUGCAGACAGCUCAAUGGAAGAGCGCCCACAACCUAAUCAAGGACGCAAUUAAACCUCGGAACUGGGCCACUCCAAGGGAGUAAGCACGGUUAACUGGUCAGUUUUAAAGUUCUGGGCAGAGAUAACGGAAAGGUGGAGAAGCCUUGUCAGUUUUAAGGGGAGCAGAUACUGCAGGGGAGAGAAGUGUGCAAGUCAAACCAGCCUGGAACUGGAUGUUACAGGUGUGUGGUAAUGGGGACAUAGGAGCCUGGGAAGUGUGGGGACUUCGAUGAGGGUUUAUAUACGGAACUAAAUGCCCGGCUGUUGGAGGUGUUGGUUGUAAGUACAGAUAAGGGGAGUUUUUUGUUUUGUUUUGUUUUGUUUUGCUUGUUUGGUUUAGGUGUUUGACACAGGCCUGCAGAUAAGGAAUGUCCUUACAGACACCGGUAGUAUAGAUUCUAUCGAAAGUACUGAGAGAAAUAAUAGUAGAAAGAUGGCAGAAUUGGGCUAUCUCUGGAAAAUACGAUGCUUAGUAUAGGACGUUGGUGAACAUCGAUGCCAGGAAGAAGAGGGAUGUGAGAACACUGGGGACAGAGGCAGCCACAUCUGACAUGAAAUUUCAACCUCGAGAUUUGAAACUAGGGUAGCAUGGCUCCUAAAAAACAUCCUCAAAACCUCCUUGCCGCUUUACCACUGCAAAGAAAGUCCACUGUGUAUUUGUUUAAAACCAGAGGAGAGAUCAUGUAACAGGCAUAAGACCGGCCCGAAUGCCCUCAUGAUCUGCUGGCCACCCCAUAAUGUUGUCUUACAUCUGCCUCCAAAUAGCCCUCUUGGAGCAAAGCGGAUCACAAGGGUGGCGACCCAUGCCUUGAAUCUCAGCACAGAGGCAGGUGGCUCUCUGUGAGUUUGAGGCUGUCCUGGUCUACAAAUCCAGGUCAAGGCCAGUCAGGGCUAUUGCCUAGAGAAACCCUGUCUCAAAAAUCAAAACCCCAAAGCCAAAGACAACAAUAACAAAAACGAAAACAAACAAUGAAUCACCCAAAAUGACCAGAACAAAACCCUUCUGAGCUUCAAUCCCAGUCCUGGGGUGCAGAGGCAGGUGGAUGGACCACAGAGGGUUCUAGGCCAUCUUGAACUACUUUGUGUGCAACAAAAAACUAAACAAUAAAACCGUUUUUUAUCA